AUUAUAUUUCAUCUAGUUUCACCAUGAUAAUGGUGAACUAAACCCUAGGUUGUUGGAGAACAAUGUAAUCUUUUGAAACUCUCUUAUAUCAAAAUUCUUAUCUUCUUUAUAUGCUUGCAUAUGCUUAUCUUUAUCAAUUGUUGGGUUUCUUACCUUUGCUUAAUGCUUUUAUCGUUUAACUCAUUCGGUAAAUGUUGUUUGUCUUUAUCGAUA
rnacentral:lncRNA from 1 species